AGGGAUUAUUUUCCUCUCCCGUGACCUAACCUUUCCCCUCUCCUCCUCCCUUCUGCGCGUGACGGCGUUUCGGCUCGAGCGAAGACGAAGCCGACGGAGCUAGGGCUCGACUCCGGCGGUCGGCCAAGGCAAGGCUCCAUGGGUUCUUCACAGAUCCGAGCUCUCCUCGGUGAGGAGAGCGCGUAGACAGAGGAGUUGCUGGAAUAUCGAGUUCUCCGAAGCCCUAGAAGUUUUCUCCUUCGGUUGUAAGUCAAGGAACUCCAAGAAGCAAGAACAUGGUGUACAGAAUUUAGUUGCUAGGGAUUUAGCCCUCUUUCUUUGCUUUUGGAACAUAUGAAAUCAAGAUGAGUGGUUCGGCUUUGAGUUAAGUACAUAUGAAGUUUUAUAAAAGAAGGGAUCGGAGCAUUUUUGCACGUAAUGAACAUGUAACAAGUCUAUAGAUCAAGCAAAAUCUGAUAGGAAAGAUAAAGGAAAGGAAAAUAUAUAGAAAGGAAGGCGACGAGGAGGUGUUCAAAGGAUGUGUG